AGCAGGUUCUUGCCUUCAUAGCAAAUUUUCGGUUCGAAACAUAUGCAAAGCAAAAAUCACAAAUCUCAAACAAGUUGUAGGGGUUUUACUAUUUUUCCCAUACUCAUGAGUCAUGGGUUGUGACUCCCUCUCUAUGACAACAUAUAAUGCACAAAUGUUUUGAGAAUAUCACAAAAUGUAGGGAGAAAAAGUGAACAAAAUUACAAUUUGGAUACCAAUGUGAAUUUAUAAUCAUAGCCCUUG
rnacentral:misc_RNA from 1 species